UACAGAGGUCUCAAGCGUUUGUUCGGAUUCAUUGGGCGUAAAGGGUGCGUAGGCUGUGGGGUAAGUCUGGUGUGAAAUCCCGGGGCUCAACCCCGGAACUGCAGCUGGAUACUGCUUUACUAGAGCACUGGAGAGGAAAGCGGAAUUCCUGGUGUAGCGGUGAAAUGCGUAGAUAUCAGGAGGAACACCUGCGGUGUACGACGGCUUUCGUGGACCAUAACUGACGCUGAGAUACGAAAGCGUGGGUAGCAAACAGG
rnacentral:rRNA from 1 species